GGGCAUUGAGAAGGAAGGAUGCUUUCAUAGGCAAAAGGCCAUGGGGAGAUACCGUCUGUGAUCGAUGGAUCUCUGAUCGGGAAACCAUAUCCAAGCUCCGUGGCUAGUCUGUGCUCUUUGGACUUUUCAAACUUAGCGAACUGAAACAUCUUAGUAGCUAAAGGAAGGGAAAUCAACCAAGACCCCGUUAGUAGCAGCGAGCGAGAGUGGAUUGGGGGUUUGAAGAAAAACAAAUACGAAGCUUCGUUCCUCAGCAAAGUGUUC
rfam:Nicotiana sylvestris Nsyl_contig126205, whole genome shotgun sequence.